rnacentral:rRNA from 1 species
AGUGAACGCUGGCGGUAGGCCUAACACAUGCAAGUCGAACGGCAGCACAGUAAUAGCUUGCUCUUACGGGUGGCGAGUGGCGGACGGGUGAGGAAUACAUCGGAAUCUACUUUUUCGUGGGGGAUAACGUAGGGAAACUUACGCUAAUACCGCAUACGACCUACGGGUGAAAGCAGGGGAUCUUCGGACCUUGCGCGAUUGAAUGAGCCGAUGUCGGAUUAGCUAGUUGGCGGGGUAAAGGCCCACCAAGGCGACGAUCCGUAGCUGGUCUGAGAGGAUGAUCAGCCACACUGGAAAUGAGACACGGUCCAGACUCCUAAGGGAGGCAGCAGUGGGGAAUAUUGGACAAUGGGCGCAAGCCUGAUCCAGCCAUACCGCGUGGGUGAAGAAGGCCUUCGGGUUGUAAAGCCCUUUUGUUGGGAAAGAAAAGCAGCAGGUUAAUACCCCGCUGUUCUGACGGUACCCAAAGAAUAAGCACCGGCUAACUUCGUG